UUAUUUGUCAACCUUUUUGUUUUUCCGUGCUUUCUUUUCUUUCUUUUUCUUCGCCUUUUCCUUCUCUUCAUCUG
rnacentral:ribozyme from 10 species